CAGUAUCUGCUUCCAAGAACAGAGUGUAGUUUGGGCUCAUGCUCACUAUGUAGCUCUUAGCAUUUGCUUCUCCUGCACAGAAGACAAACUGCUGCUUAAAUUUACCAAGGCCAUCAUGGGAAAUUAAGAUUCAGAUGUCUUUCCUCAAAGUAUGAAAAAGAAAGCAAUGAAUGAAGAAUUUCUUAUUGGCCUAACUGGUGAAUUCUGGACUGAAACCCAAGGCAUUGAAAAUACUACCAAGAAAAUGUUCAACCUAGUAGCUCAGCCCUUUGCUGUUGAAUUGUGAUGUUUCUGAGCUGAGUGAGGCAACAGCACUGGCAGUAUACACAUAGCUAUCCAUUUGGCUGUCAAUGUGGAAAAAUAACUGAUGUCAGAUGAUGCACUCUGGAUAUCAUGCCAAGUUCCACUGAGAAAUCACACAACUAUUGAAAUGGACGGUUAGAGCACG